rnacentral:lncRNA from 1 species
UCAUGUAAUUCAACCAAGCAAGGCAAUUAAGUAUAUUUCUAUCCUAAUUGCAAAACUGUUCCCCGAUGCCUGAGUUCAAGAACUUUCUCUAUUUAAUUCUAUAUGAAAUCUAGAAUUCGCACUUUCGAGUUCAACUCUAGAUUCGAACGUCAACAUUCAUGUAGCACCCAAGACCCCAGAACAAUGGGGUUCUUAGCCACUCAUGUUCACACAAUCAUCAAAAAUAAUGUUUUCAAACAUAAAAUCAGUGAAUACUAGAAGAAGAAUGGAAGAAUUGAUCAAAUUCGUUCUCCCAAGUAUUUCGUACUUUUGUUUCUCUCUCAAAGUCACGUCCUUCCCCUCAAAAUAGGUUUAGGUUGGCUUUUAUAUGAGGUGGAGGCAUCUUGGGGUCGAAAUAACCGAGUCCCAAUCGAAAUAGGCCACUUCUGCGUCACCAGCACCCAGGGCAGUUUGGGGCGCUGGCCCUGCCGCUCAACCUCUUCAUCACACUAUUUUGUGCGCCACAGGUAGCGCCCCACGCUGCCUGUGGCGCUCAACUGGCCACUUUUGCAUUCUCUUCCCAUUUUUGCUCCAAUUCACGCACUUUCAUCCCAAAUCGCAUCUGAAUGAUUCCUACAUAUAGAAAUACCACAAAUUAGCACAAAUCAUUAUAUUACACAUCCGGAAUUACCAGACAUGAGCAUAAUGCGAGGCAAUAUACAUUAAAAUAUGCAUAUAUUAAGCCGAAUAUCACUUGUCACGACAAAAAAUCCUACCGCAGAGGUCGUGAUGGCGCCUAGUCUCUAAGACGAGGUAAGCCUACCACAUAGUAAUGUUAAUCAAAAUAUAACAACUUCAAAUUUACAAAAACUACGAAAUAUGAUAAUACUACCAACCGUGGGUACAAUAAUAAACUUCUCAAAACCUGGUAGUACUGAGUCAUAAGCCCUAAAUAGAAUACAUAUGAAGUCUAGAAGAGUAUGGUAUUCUAUGAAAUACAUAAACAUUAGAAAUAAAGUAAAUAUGGUGAAUCUGAGGCCAGCAAGCAGCACAAUAAGGAUACCUUGAAGUCUCCAAUAAAUGCAAGCACGCCUCCCUAGUGAAAAGCCUGAUUAGAAGUACCUGGAUGUGCACAAAAAUAUGCAGAAGCGUAGUACGAGUAUACCACAGUGGGUACAUAGUAAGUAUCAAAACUAACCUCGGUGAAGUAAUGACGAGGUUCAUGUAAUGUGAUACUCACUAGUCAAUUAACCUGUGCAAUAUAUCAAAGAAAAAUUGAAAACAAAAUAUAUAACAGAUACAAUAUCAACAACCUCUUAGAGCGUGUGAUAACAAGUCAAUGUGGAAAAAUUCAUCUUUGUCUACCAAACAUCAAAUUGAACUGGGGCAUGUGAAAGCAUGUCAAAUUCAACUAAAAACACAUAAGAAUUACAGGAUGUAAACUUUAAAGAAACUAGUAUGUGAUAAAAAUAUCAACCCCAUUUCAACACAUAAACAACAUCAAGUAAGUCACACCGAAAUAUUAUAUAACAUCAUCAGUAAUGUCAACCUUAUUUUGUCGCACGCACAUAACAAUGAAAUGCCUCCCUUAUUUCGUUGCAUGCGCAUAUCGCCACCCUUAUUUCGCCGCAUGCACAUAUCAAUGAAAUGUCUCACUUAUUUCGCCACAUGCGCAUACCACCACCCUUAUACUCCUCACAACAAAAUCAACUUGUACAACAUGUCCACAUAUGCCACAAUAUCCUAAAAAAAUAAUAUAAAAAUUUCAUCAAAAUGUGAGCUCACAACUCAACAACAAAGUCCACGAGGACAUCACAGUAACAUAAAAGUGUGGAGUGGUGUUCAACAAAUAAGUCAUAACUAUGGCUAAGUCGAAUGUAGCGAUCAUGAUCGUGUAGUCAAAAAAUGAUUAAGCAUGUUUCAUAUAUAAAAAAAACAACACCAAAUUAAAGCAUAUUAAUAGCCUAAGGCCUAAUACGGUCAUAAACCACACAUACGCCCAUGUACACGCUCGUCACCUCAUGUACACAUCGUCAUUCAUAUAACACAAAUAGGCAAUUAAGGCCAAAUCCUAAGAGGUUUUCCCCCACACAAAGUUAGGUAAGAUACUUACCUCAAACAAGCCAAUUUAAUACUCCAAAAAAGCUUUUCCAUUUAAAUUUACCUCCGACCUGCUCAAAACUAGAUAUAAAUGACUCAAUAAUAUCAAACAAUACUAAAAAAAUUAAUUCAAAAUAAUAAAGGCCCAAUCUUUACCCAAUUCUCGAAAAGUCAACAAAAGUCAACCCGGACCGCAUGGUUAAAAUCCGAGUCGAGAGGUAGAUCUCGACUACCCAUAACUCCACAAGUCCAAAUAUAUUAUUAGUUUUCAAAAUCGAGUCCCAAUCGAAUCUCAAAUCUAAAAUUUUCUUCUUAAACGUUGUCACAAAUCCCCAAAUAUUCCUUUGAAAUCCCAAUGUUUAGGUGUAAAAAUCCAUAAGAAAUGAAGUUAUAUUAUCAAAAUUGACUGAAAUUUACAUACCGAAUGGCUAUGUGUAAUCCUCCAUAAAUCGCCUCCCACCAAGUCUAUGGCUUAAAAUAUGAUAAAAGAAGGCUAAGUCCCGAAGUUCCCGUUUUAUGGCUCAGCUGCAGAAGUCACAUUUGCGACCUAUGGUUCACAAUUGUGAUCACCGAAAUUGCGACCCUUGGCUUCCAAAUGCAAAGCCUGCCAAGUCUUACAGAAGUCUCAAAUGCGAAACCUUGUCCGCAAUUGGGAACAAGUCCUGGCAAAGUCUCAUAGAUGUCACAAAUGCGACACCUUGUCUGCAAUUGGGAUCAAGGCUUGGCCAAAGCAAGAUCGUAAAUGCAGUCACAUAGUUCGCAAAAGCGAACAUCCCAACUCCCAACAAUCCUCGCAAUUGCGACACUGGCUCCACAAAUGUGAAGCCAAUCCACUCAGACACCAUCACAACUGCAAUAUGAAACUAACAAAUGCGAAGUCCGCAAAUGCAAAUAGAAUCUCACAUUUGCGAGACCUGUAGCACUUGCAACACUGCCCUCAACCCAAAAAUUAUCCGAAACACAUAUGAAACUCACCCGAGCCCCCGGGGCUCCACACUAACAAUCCACACAAGUAUAGAAACCUCAUAAAGCUCGGCCGAGAUCUCAAAAAACCAAAAUUACGUUCGCAACCAUGAAUCGAACACCAAAACACCUUAGAAUCACAAUGAAACCCAAGAACUUCUAAAUUCACAAUCAAGCAUCUGAUUCCUAUCAAACCAACUCGAAAGGAGACCAAACUUUGCACACAAGAUUCAAAUGACAAAACAGACCUAUUCCAGAUUUCAAGACCACAAUCCAAACUUGAUAGACAUAAAGCCACCCAUGGUCAAACUUAUGAAAUUUCUAAGCCUUCAAAUUGCCAACUUUCAGCAAAAAGAUCCAAUCAUCCUAGGAACCCCUGAAUUCAAUUCCGGCAUUUGUCUAAGUUAAAAAUCACCAUACGAAUCUAUUAGAAAUAUCAAAAUACCAUUUCCGGGUCAAUUUUCAUAAAAAGUCAAACUUGGUCAACACUUCUACCUUAAGAUUCGAAACUAUGAACUAGGUAUUCCAAUUCAAUCCAAAACAUUCCCGAAAGAAACCAUAUAUCCCCGCAAGUCAAAUAACAAUAAUUAUAUAUACAGAAAGUUUGAAAAGGGAAAUGAGGCUCAAAUACACAAAACGACUGGUCGGGUCGUUACCGGAAAGUUCACACCUCGUGUUGAAUAACAAACUAGGUCGAAGAGUCUAGAUUAUCAAGUGUUCUUCUCCUUGAACUCGAACUCAUACAGAAUUAGAAGGAAAUAGAGGAAGCAGGAGUCAGUGAGAAUUUAAUGUAGAACACCUUAUUUUGUAUAAAACUGAUGGCUAUUUAGUUGGUAUCAACUGGUGGAUGGUAGAGUAUUAACUCCAGCAAUUUAUAGUCGAAGAUUGACGGUCAUUUGAAAUUUAAAACUUAGAAUAUUCAGACUUCUUAUUAAGAAUCAUAAAAUCUAAGCGAUGACAAAAGACAAAAGAGGGGAAAGGAUUUACCUUCAGUUAUUGUUGACGAGAUAGGAGAGCCGUUGGGGUUCAAAACCUCUGGUUUUCCCCAUUGUUUUGAAGUAUGAACUUCUCGGUCGAAGUUAUGACCACUGGGUUUCACUGAGGUCAUAGAAUCUUGAGAUCUUCAACAUUGAAGGCAGAUCUCUUGAGUUGUUUUCUCGAUCAAGGACUACAUGUAAGGUAGUAGAGGUUCCUCGAUGGGGAUAUGGUCCUGGUGACGAGGGGUGGAGUAAUGGUAGUCCAGGUAGCAUCUUGUGGUGCUAGGGUUUUGUGGGUGGAAGAGGUGAGAGGGAAUGAGUUAAAGGAAAAAAGGAUCGACACGAUAUGCGGAUUGCGGCAUUGUCUUGAAUGGGAGAAAGGAGAGGGGAACGGCAGUCGGUGUAGCAUCGUUUGGUGAUAGGGUUUCAGGUAUUUACAAAGGUGAGAGAGACGAGAGAAAAGGGAAAUGGGGGGCAACUACUUUUGG